rnacentral:rRNA from 1 species
GUGGGGAAUAUUGGGCAAUGGGGGAAACCCUGACCCAGCAACGCCGCGUGAAGGAAGAAGGUCUUCGGAUCGUAAACUUCUAUCCUUGGUGAAAAUAAUGAUGGUAGCCAAGAAGGAAGCCCCGGCUAACUACGUGCCAGCAGCCGCGGUAAUACGUAGGGGGCAAGCGUUGUCCGGAAUGAUUGGGCGUAAAGGGCGCGUAGGCGGCCCGGUAAGUCUGAAGUGAAAGUCCUGCUUUUAAGGUGGGAAUUGCUUUGGAUACUGUCGGGCUUGAGUGCAGGAGAGGUAAGCGGAAUUCCCGGUGUAGCGGUGAAAUGCGUAGAGAUCGGGAGGAACACCAGUGGCGAAGGCGGCUUACUGGACUGUAACUGACGCUGAGGCGCGAAAGUGUGGGGAGCAAACAGGAUUAGAAACCCGAGUAGUCC